AGUCGGAAAGCUGUUUCGCGCGUGUCUUACAGCGAGCGAUUAGUUUCGAGAUAUAUCGAUAUUUCAAGGAUGAUCGAAUCAUUACGUAUCAAAAUACGUAUUGCUCUUCGUUAUAUUCUGAUAUUGUUACGGAAUUAUUGACAUAUACGUAAUUUCAAUAAUUAUCGUUUCUCUCGUGUGAUUUAAAAAUGUACAAUUAGAAAGUUAUUACGAAGCAGAAAAAUCUAAAAAAGGUUCUCUCGAAUCCAUUUCUACCAUAAUUUUCUUAUAAUUAUCUUCGUUCAAAGUAGUAGUAGGGAAUAAUAAAAACUGAUAAACGUCACUUUCUAACCAAAGGCGAAACAAAUAUUUUUAAGCAGAAUAUAUCUACAACUUUUUAUCGUAAUGAAGAGAAAAGAUUGUGUUCUGUUCGAUUCAAGAAACUAUCGAAAAAAUCGAUAAUCGAGAUCUAUUCUUUUUUCGAAGAUUAACGGGAAACUGAUAAAAGGAAAUAUCGACGAAAGUUCGCUGGUGGCUUGUAUAUACUGCGCAAAUGCUCUCCCGCCUCUUGGAAUAUUACUCGGUUGCCCAAGGUUGCCGUUCGUUCUGUUCACGACUCGAGCAUUAUGCACGUGUAUAGAUAUAUCAACCACGCAUUUACAACGAUACACCUCUACAUAUUUACGAUACACGCGUAGUAGAUCUAUCUCUCUAACGUCCACACACGAUAUAAGAGAAUACAUGUUUCCUAACCUUUUCUCUAUUCCGUUACAUUUAUUUCAUGUGCAUUUUUUUUUAUUAACCAAAUAAUUAACUAUUCAAUAACUCAAAUUAUUUGAUUAAUUAGAAAAAUAAUAACGAAGAACUUUUUCAUUCUUUUUAAAACGAAAUAGAAAAAAAAUAUCGAGUAGAUUCAUAAAUAUUUUUUCACACUCUACUCUAACAGGUUGAAAACGUGACACGGUAAUGGGUGACGAAAUUGGGAAACUCUGCGCGCGCAAUGUACCUAUUCUUUGUUCAUUUCUCGGCUUUUAAGAGCACGUCUCGCAUCGAUGCAUGGCAAUUAUUGAUAUGUGUGUGAAAACCGACAAGAGAUACAUUGAGCAUCGUUUAUUAUAUGCACAUAGGAAUAUGUGCACAUACUCAUCGGUACUAGGGCCUCUCCCUUCGGAACUGUCGGCGACGGUUCAGUAAUGCUGGUCGCUAGUACGAUACGGAUCAACGAUUUAAUGUGAACACACCAGCAGCCUCUCUUUAUUUCUAUAGUCGAAUCAUUUCACAUCGAUCGAUCGUUUCUGUGAUACGCGGAAUCUUACUUUCCCUGAAACUCUAUUUCUUUUAUAAUUGCUUUUUUCAUUUUUAUUUUCUGUGAAAUCUGUUUUGAAAAUCAAUUUUACGCACAAAAUAUAUUUUACCAAAUGAAUCCUAAUGGAAAAAAGGAAAAAAUGAUUAUUCAUCUAUUUGGAGAAAUCACUUUCUUUGUAAUGAAAAAAAUAUGUUAUUUUAGAACAUUCAUCGAUGAUAAGAAACGAUGAUGAAACAAAAUCAUUUCUAACGUUUAUAUUAACGUGAAUGAGCACACUAAUUACUUCCUAUUUUGAAAUGUGUUAAAUAUAAAUAUAAAAUAUACUUCUUCAUAUACGUACAGUAUAUAUAACUCUGCUACGAGCACUUCUCACUAGUUAAGAAUAGAUUAAAAAAUUGAUUCUUUAAAAGCUUAAUAAAUAAAAUGUAACUAAGCACGUUGCUUUCUAAUCAUUUAUUUAUGAGACUAUUUUCAGCAUCGAAAUGCAUAUAUUACAAUCGUAAACGUGUUAUAGAAGUGUGUGAUAUUUGUGGAGUCGAUUUGGUCUUCGUUUACAUAAUCUACGUCUUCUACAAACGUACAAUAGAUGAUUACGAAUCAUUUGAAUUUGACGUCAAAAAAUUAAUUGCACAAAACGAAACGUUGUCGUUUAAUGUGCAUAUAUUUCGCGUUUCCUUAUGUCUGAACAAACGUGUUAAAGUACUGUUCCUUUCAAUUGCAUUGUCCUUGAGGUUAGAAGACAAGGAACGACGCAAUUCUCACAAUUAGUGCCUCUCUAUUUAAGUUUCUUUCACGCUCUAUUAUCAUCCAAUUUUAAUGCCUGUUGAAAAUAUAUACUAAAAUAUUAAUAAAAACCACAUUUAUCAAAUUUUUGAUUUGUUUCUUUCAACUUAAGUCUGUUUAUUCAUAUUUGCGAAUAUUAUAUAUUUCUAAACGACAUCUAUAAUUUACGACCAAUGAACCUUUGCUACUGUCGAUAAAUCAGUCAACUUCCUAACGUAUCAUGAAAACCUUAACAAAUUUCGAAAGUUAAAUUUAGAACAAUAAUCGUAAGAAAAGUAACUAAAAAAAUAGUUCAAGAAAAUGAUGACUAUAAUGAAAAUAUAAUAUUAACAGCUGUCAAAAGCAUUUAGAAACGUAGAUUGACGCGCGCAUACAGCUGAUAAUGAUUAUGUAAGAUAUACAACGCGCAGUAAAAUGUCAUCCAUUAUACGAUUAUAUCGUAAUCCAAUCAUCUUCAGAAUUUUCGAAGAAAACGGAUUAUCUUGAAACAAACAAUCAUUACGUGUUUUUACUUUUCCGAAUCAUAUCCUCACAUGUCAAAUAAUUGUGUCUCACAACGUACGAUACUUCAAAUCUUAUAAUUAGAGCUUUAUGCUCGAAUUUCAACCAUAAAAUUCGCUAGAAUCUCUAGCUAGUGAUAUAAAGGAAAGAAAAAAAUUCGUUUUACAUGGGAUGCUAGGUGGAUCGAUCGAGCACAAGUUUGGAAAGAAUGAAUGAGAACGGAAUGAAGACGUUGUACAAGAAUAUCACGAAAGAAUCGGGUCAAGGAUCAUCUUGCCACUGAAUGACAGAUACAUUAUUAUUUUUUAUUUUACAAGAGAUAAUACAGGUAUUACUCACUGUUUCCUCGUCUCACUGCGUGCUUUGGACCUCCGAUAUCGCUCCGGUAUCCGGUGGUUAACAAUCGACGAGGCUUGAGAAAUAUCCUGGUUAGAAGCACUCGCGAUUUUUGCCUGCGAUCAUGAAGCGAGAUCGGUUUGUUGGUUGGUCUAAAAGGGUUAGAAAAAGAAGUGGUGUCGCUAACGGACACACGAACGUGCCCCGCUCGCCGUCCACCGUUGAACUGAUUUCUGGCUCCUUUGUUUAGUAAACAGAAACAGCUGAGCCACACUACUAGUUACGAGAGGUAGAGGUGGCGGGAGCUUGAUCCACUCUUCCCGCACAACGCUCACCAUACUACGCAAGCGCGUUUCUCCGCAAGCGUCACGUGGUCUUACAUGUUUAACCAAUUGGAAAAUAGCAUUGCGGACAGUAUCGUAUUGCGAUAUAUUACACUGUAGAAUUAAAAUAAAAUAUUAUUCAAUAAUAUUAAAUCAAAAAUAUUUAAUAGAUAUAACUAAUUUAAAUAAGAUUUUUAACAUAAAAUUAUGUUCAUUAUUAAUUGUAUUAUUAUCAUUAUAAUUAUAUGUAAUGCAAUGUAAUUGUUCUUAUUAUCAUUUCAUUUAAAACCGUAUAAAAAUAUAUUUUUAAUUAAAUAAUAAAUAUUAAGAAUUUUAUUAUAAGGAAAAAAGGCAUUAAUUAAUGCAACGGAAAAAAAAUUUUAUAUAAAUUAAUUGUAAAACGCGAAUUUAUAAUACAUCGAUAAUGUAGAAAUAUAAUAUAUAUAUAUAAUUGACAUAAAACUUACCAUCAAAUCAGAAAAUCAUGAAAACACCAUAAAUAUUCUUUAUUUCAUUAUGCGAAAUAUAAGAUAUAUCUAAAUUUGGAAUAAAAUUCAAUGAAGGAAUAAUAGCAAAAUUCUGAUACAAAAAUUUAUAAAUUUACCAAGCUAAAAGAAAAAAGUAUGAAAUAAUAUUAUUAUUAAUGUAAUUUUGUUUGAUAAUAAUUAAUUAAAAUCUUGUGAUGUUUUUCAAAUAAUUGAUUUAUCAUUAACCCAAUUUCAUCCUUUAAACAAUGUUAUAUUAUUUAUUGAUACAUAGAAUUUAUCAAUAAUACCAUUAGCUAACAGUAUUACACUUGCCUCUAUUUCUUCGAAAAUUGUCAUUUUCUCGUUCCUUGUUUGCGAAAUUAUAAUACAUGUAUCAAAGAGCAGUUUACUUUCUUUGAUCGUCUUUUUUUAUCUGUUGAAGUUGUUUGUCAUACAUCAUAAUUAAUUACUAUUCAAUCACAAUUACAGAUCAUACAUACACGUAUAAUUACACAUUACGACAUUACAUACAUGUGUUUCUGUAUUAUAUAUUUAUAUAUGUAUAUUUAUAUAUUUAUAAAUUACAGAUCGUAGAUUAGAGGUACUCUAUUUCGAUAUCUUUGGGAAUGUUUUGACACUCUUAAUCUUUUUCUUUCUAUAGUCGAUGCCGUUAGAAAUUAUUUGUAAUAAUCGAAACGAAAUAUAUUUUUCUACUCGUCUUACGUGCUUUUCGAGAUCAAAUUUCGUGCACAUGUUUACACUAAGCAUUAAGAAAAUCUAAAAUAUUAAUUAAAUUGCAUAUUUAUAAAUAUCAAUGAAGAACUAAAACAUAUUUUUUCUAACAUAUUUAAAAUGCGUUAUUUUUUUUAAAUCAUCAACAUCGUUUUCAUUACUGAUUUUCGUUGACAUUUAUUAGGUUAUUGCACUUGAUAAAGAGGUUAAAGUACUUAAAUUUUGUUGUCAAAUAACAAUUAUUACUUUAACUAAAAUAUAUCGAAAAAUUAGUUCGUUAAUUCUUAACACGUCUUGUAAAAAAUUUACCUUUUAACAUUUAAUAAAAAUUUCCAUAGACAAAAUUAUCGAUCAACCUGUUAUGAUAGCUGAAAAUGCUGCGAAGAGGCAAAAAUACAUUUUAAGGGGUUUUUGUUCCUUCAUUGAUCGUUUCUUACCACAACGGACGUUUUUUCUAAAUGAUAUUUAGUAUUGAUCUUAAUACGAUUCAAUUAACUGUAUCUUUACAGACUCUUUACCUGUACAGAACAUUUUCUUUUAUGUUUGUUCGUUUUAAUAUUAAUUGUAAGAACAACAACGACACUACUAAUUUUUUUUCUUUACAAUUAAUCAUUACAGGUUCAAGUUAACAUGAUUAUAUCUAAUACCUACAUAGUUUAAUAAUUAUAUGUACGUAAACGAAUAAAUUUGACGUGAUAUUUUUCGUAGCAGCAACAAAUGGAGGUCGUAUAGAUUCAAUAGAGGUCUACUUUAUCGACGCAUUAAUAUGUUCUGGAUCAACAACAGGAUUCACAGCGUUUUUAAAAUUCUUUAAUAAUUAUUGCUUUGACGUGAACUCAGAUAUUCUUCGAAUAUAUAUAUUAAUCAUAAUUACGAUUGAUGAAUUAUUUUUUACAAAAAGCUUUCGAUUUAAUAUAAUAAAAUAGAAUAUAAAAUUGAAUAUUUUUUUUUUAACAAAUAAAUUAAUAAAUAUAAAGAAAAUAAAAUGAUUUAGUUAUUAUUAUGUCCAAAAUUUAAGUUAAGACCUCUUUGCAGGGAUGAAAAAUUCAAUGCUUUCUCUUGCUCUCAUCCAUUCGUUCGUUUUCAGUCAUACUUGUCAAACAUCGAUAGACUUGCCAAUAUCACACACAUAACCUCUAAUUUAAAUAUCUUUUCUAAGAUAUCUAUACAUGCAUCGUGUUUAAAUAAAUCUUUCCCUUUAGAUACACAAACGCCAUCUUGGAUAUUGCACAAAUGUGCAAUAUUACACACAGUUGAGAUCACGAGCUGGAAACGUCAUGUCCCGAGUCGAAUUUUUCGCGAAAAAAAUCCUCUCAGGAUCCAUUUAAUGUACCAACGCAAACAGACCGUCACGCCGCAAGUGGAAAAGCUUUGCACUGUUUCAAAGAACGCAAUGCAGUCUUGUGAAUUAAUACAUUACAUGUAAUGUUUUCAUCUUAUGGGAUGUAUUGGCUGGCACAGUUAAGCAGUAUUGUCCGAUGUGCUUCAUUGGAUACAGGAAAAUAAUUUAACGAAGAUAUUUAUAUUCGCAUUGACACGGAUCAGAGUGACAAUCUAUAACUGACGGUAUUAAUUAAUAGCUCUAACUGUUUAUAUCUUACUUGGCAUGUCGAUUGACAUUUCUAUACGUCAUUAAAUCGAUUAGCAUUAUCGGUUAAUUGCUAACCUAAAUAGACUUAGCAUAACGUAUGACUAGUGAAUCAACACCUGACAUGUCAUACGAGUUUCUUACAAGCUAAGGACUAGAAUAGACUCUUCUGAUCUCCUUUGCAGGAUGAAAAAUUUCUAACGAAAAAUUGAAAAAAUCUCAACGGAAACUUACGUGACUAGAUUUUUAUUUUCCUUAAGUAAGUAAAGUUAUUAUUAAUAAGAUCUCGCACCAUUUCUUAUCUAUAGAUAAAUAGAUUCUUUUCACCUAACCUUACGCGGGAUACAUAUUUCGAUUAGCCACCGUUAAUGUCAACGGUCAUAUUUUUUUUUUUUUUUUAAAUAAAAGAAAAUGAAACGAAAACUUAUAUCUAUGACACGUUAUAAUAUAUCGCAAAGCGUUUGAACAUAUUCUUGCACCUUUAAUCUCGCACAAGAACAAAAUAUUAAAAACUAGAUUAAUUGCAGUCUCCCAUGCUCGCAUUAAUAAUUUAUACAAAUUAUAUGUUCGCUCUUUGCCUGGCAAAAUUCUCGAUACCUAUUUCAUUAUUAUUAUUUACUUACAUUUCUAAUAACCGACGAUUAUUCUGGAUAAACUACAUUUUUUGGAAACGACUAGAUAACAUUUGAUAUAGAUCAUCUGCAAGCUUAAACGAUAAGAUAUGCGCUGCACGUUUCUCCGAAUUAUAACGACUUUCUUAAUUAACAACUAUUGUCCUCUGAUCAUCGUGUUGAUACGACAGUCCUUAAACGAAUUAAACAUUUUAAAUACACUUGAUGAUUUAAUUCGACAGAAAAUAAUAUAAUUAAUAUAAAAUGAACAAAUAUUUAUACACAAGCAAUUCUUAUUUGACAAAAAUAGAAUAGAAUUAAACAAUGUAAUGCAAUAUAAUGCGUAACAAGUGAGUGAUUACUGAAUUUUAAAAAUCGUUGAUUCGUCUUUGAAACGCGCAACUUGAGCAAGGCAAAGCUCUUCACCGCGAGUGUGUAUUACUACUUAGCAAGCUAAACUGAACGUAAAAUCGGUAUUGUCCUCCCUUACAAAUUACUUCAUUUCAUACGUACAUUUCAUUUAACUGCUAUGCGUUACAUGAACACGCAGUGACGCCAGGCGUUUCGCGGGUCGUAGCCAUCCAAAAAAACUUGAAGUGAACACCAACACGAACGAUUUAACUGUUGACUGUUUAAUACUGAUGUGCGUUCGGAACUAUCAAUACUUAUAUAUCUUCGUUUCCUAUCUUAUAGGGUUACACGCGAUUAACCCUAUAACGUGUUGCGCUUGAUCGCGUAGAAAUUAUCCAUUCGAUUUACGCUGCGACUCGUAAAACGCCACGCGCCCAGUCACAGGCAUCGUUCUGCUUUCUGUAUACAUCUUAUUAUCAUUAACAAGUAAUUCUUCUUAAAUUUCGUACGUGUUACAGGUUACCUUACGUGGUUACCACCGACUUGAAAUUAAUCGGAAGAAUCCGAGUCAGAUUCCGCGCCAGCGUCCGACGCUUCGCCUUGCGUUUCAGGCGUUGUUUCAGGAAUUUUUCUCGUAUGACGCGUGCUUAAGGUAUCAUCGCAAGAUCCAUACCUGUACUCGUGUCGCGACAAAUUCUUAACAUACUUCUCCGGUGGAUUAUCACUGUCGUGAUUCUGAAAGCUAACGCUCCUUGCCGUCGUGUGAGAUACUUGGGUUGCAGGCAUAGUAAAUUCUACGUAACAGUAUUCGGCCAAAUUCUCAGGGAUCUGAUCGUAAGAGGUUAGGGCCAUUCUACAUAUCAACUGGUGAGUCGUGUACGCUCCUGAGAAUAUAUAUUAUCGAUGACGUUACAAAACGUUCGAGAAUAAGUUUAAAAAUAUUUUAAAGAUUUAAAAUAAUGCUCGUACCUUGGCCUUCUUUCGGUAAUCUGGGCAUUCUCCACACAAUGGCACGAUGUUGAUGCUCAUACUUCGCUUGUCCCGACGUUACCUCCAUCAGCUGAGGUUCUAGGUUAUCGACCGCGCCCAGAAAUCUUUCGAUACCCUUGAUCUUUCCCGUUCUUCUAUGGGCUGAUUUUACAGAUCCGUAUCUGAAGUGUUUUUCCACCCUGAACAAAUAUAUCCAACACUCUGGGAUCGGGAAACGGACCAUCACGUCUUCGCAAGGUACUUGGCCCAGUUUUCUCGACGCGAAACCCGGCACGAGAAUAUCGGCUCUCAAUUCUACCUAUUAAUUAAAAUAAAGAACAGGGUCAGAGCGUGUGAAUAUCGGAGCGAGGCCGUGACACUAUCGUCAAAGCAAAAGCGGAUAUUGAUUCGGUAGAAUACAAGUGCAAUGAAGUUGGAUUUUUAUAUAGUUGGAACAUGAGGCCUUACUCGAAAUCUCAUAAGUUCGAUAUAACAUGCAUCUGGUGGCUUGAACCUUCAAAAGUGUUAGUCACGUGUUAGAGACGCAAUGCAGUCUUUCAUUUUUCAUACUCGUCCUGCUGAACGCAAGAGUGGAAUUCGACGUUUUCAAGCCGGAUCCAUUCCUCGGUCACCACUGGAAUUAUAUCGUGUCUACCUACUACCUCUUUUCCCUGACGCCACAUGUCGUUUAUUCCCAACUCUACAUCGGGCAUUCCUGAUAUAAUCAAAAUUGUGAAUUAGAAAAUUUCAAUUUCAAUGAUAAUCUAUACGAUACGAUAAAAUGUAUUCCAAGAAAUUGACAAAGCAAUCUGGUCCUAUUUACCGGAAAGAAAGCCCAAGAAGAACAAUCGAACACGAGCUAUCUGUUUCUCAACCUGACCUUGCGCGUUCUGUUCCACGUAUAGUUCAUCUACGACUGUUAUCUGCACAUCCUCCGUCUUAUAAUUAAGCGCUCGAUCUCGAUGAGCGGGUAAUCUGAACAGAGCUUCUUCGAUCGCGCAGGAGAACUGUUUCAUGUCCUCGUAGCAUUGGGAACCAAGUUUGAACAGCUCGGAAAUCUAUAUGAAAAAAAAAGGAAUUCAUCAAUUUCGGAGAAGAAUUUUAUAUCUUACAACGCAGAAACGUCGUCAUACCUGUGGCGCGUGUUCCACAGGAAGACCAAGUUUCUUCAAGUCGCUUCCAAAUUCCUUAACCCCCUGAUAAUCACCCUGAAUGGCGUACGCGGCAAAUUGACUGAGCUUAUUCGUUAAUCUUUCCGCUUUGGUUACCUGACCAGGCCGUACUCCGGGUCGUUCCUUGUAGAAAAUGUAUUGCAACUUCACCGUAAAUAUUUUUCCAUACUGAUCAAACUGUUGCGCUCCGAUAUCAGAGACCGAGUAAGAAGGGACCAGGGGCAAUUCUUGGAAGGGAUCCUUAUCCUCCCUGCUGUUGAACAAUUGAAGCACAGGAUUGUCGCCUUGAUAGACCAACUUGACGAAAAUUUUCUUCCAGAAUCGUUGACCGGUUAUCUUUUUCUUGUUAGGCUGGCGUAGAUGCAUUUCCCAACCGUCACCAGUGUACGUUACCCUCGGGAAGUCUUCCAGAGGUUGGCUAACGUCUUCGUCGAACAGAGGUGUCGGAGGAGUUUCCUGGAAUUGGGAUAGAGGUUGAACAGUUUCCGUGACAGGAAUGGCGUCUUGCGCGGAUCCAGAUUUGUCGAAGGGGUUGAAACGUGGCGAGGUAUCGACGUAGGCGGUAUUUUGAGGGCUCUUCGGCGGUGGUGCCAGUACAGGGACAGCAGCUCCACCUUCGGUUCCAGAUUGAUCACCUUCUUUCGGUCUUUUGAACAGGAACAACGAAGAUACAAUGCACAAGCGUACAAUUUACACGCGAGACAAAAUUUAAAAUAAUAAUUCUUACUUGAUGAACACGCUGAAAUCCGGCCCCGCGUCCGAAUCUACAGACUCGGUUCUCUUUACGCUCGGUUCUGGUGGAGGUGCGGUCAUGCUCAAGAACGAAUCGAACCCGUCGCUCUCCCCGAAUCCUGUCACUGCCGUCUCCGACCCCGUUGCCGAGGAGUCGCCCCAAACUAGUAUAAAGUAAUACGUAAUCUUUGCUCUUCGAGGAUGAUAAAUAAGAUUGAUAAAUAACAAAAAGUUGGUUUACCAUCGCUGGACGUGUCCAUGGCGGUGGGCCCACCGCCGAAAGCGUCCAGGAAAGGAUCGCCCGCGUUGGUUUCCUGUUCCGCAGCCUUGUCAAACUUGGAGGCAAAAAUAUCGAAAGCAUCCCCGCCGCUCUCUGCCGUUUUGCCAGCUGCCAGAUUGUCCAACUGUUCCUCGGGCUUGUACGCCUCGCUGCUAGGGAAUUCGGCGCCGGGGGUCGGGCUGGUCGACCUCGCGGUAUCGGUAGGCUCACCAAAGUCGCCGAGCAAGUCGGAAGCGAAAGGCCCGCUGGGCUGAGCGGAGCUGAUCUCCGAGGUCGUGAACAGAGACUGCGCGGCGGACGUUCGCAUGGGCGUGGAAAAUGGCGCGACCACGGGAGGAGUCGUGUCCGCGACGGAGAAGAACGUGGACUCGGUCACGGACGUGGACGAUUGUUCGGUGGUCGAGAACAAUUCGCUCGACGACUGCAACGCGUCCGCGGCGAGGUCCGCGUCGACACCGGCCCUCUCCGUGUCGCUUCCCACGGCGCCCGUCGUCGACGAGACCGAGAGUCUCUUCUCGCUUGCCACGGACGCUGUCUCUUGAAACUCGUCCGCCUGCUGAACAGGGGACGCCUGCUGCUCCGUGAUACCGACGAACGGGUUGUCCUGGGUCGUGGCGCUGAUCAGCGUCACGCCGGUUCCCGAACUGGUCGUGUCCUCCGUGAUCGUAGAAGAGGAGAAUAUGGUGGUAGUCGUGGUGUCCGUGUUGGGCGCGUCGAACAGAUCCAAUAUGUCCCGAUUCUUCGGUGGCUCGACCGCCUUGCUGUUGUCGUCGGACAUCAAGUCGGGAACGUUCGAGUCGACGUCCAAGAAAUCUGCGAAACUGUGUUCCGGUGUCGGAGACGGAGAGUGCAUCAAAGUUGGGCUGGGCGUUCUGGUUGCCUGUGAGGAUGAGAUCAAGAUUGAGUGGAAUUAGAGAUUCGUGUACGUACGUUAUAUCGCGUGUAUAUAUACGAACUUGUAGUCGAUCCAGAAGAUGAUUCGAAGUGGCGUCCAUCGCGCCGGUCACGGACAGGAUCAAGUCUUUGGUGUUUUUGGGAGGUGCAGGAGGUUGCGGCCUGGGGGGAGGGGGCCUAGAUGGCGCCGCUCUCGCGUUCUUCGGCUGCUGGGCCGGUUGCUGCACGGUAGCCGGGGACGGUGGUGGCGCCGUCUGGCCGAAGAACUCCUCCGACGAAUGGGAGGAGAGCGGCGCGUCGAACAGAUUCGGCUCGUCGCCGCUCGUCACGAAUAUGUUUUUCGCCUCGGUCGAGAAAAUGUUGGCCGUGGUGGCGUCGGUGGUCGCCGCCUCGAAGCCGGUGCUGGGCGCGCUGCUGUCCGUGGCGAACGAGGCGAACGGAUUCGUCGAGUCGACGGUGAUUGCCGACGAUUGGUGAUACGAUUGGUCUCCGCCGAAAUUCAGGAACGGAUUCUCCCCGCCGCCAGAUGUCCCCGAAGCGUCGCCGAAAUCUUGGAGGAACGGAUUGGACGCCUGGCCCGCCAUGUUGUCGUUCGACUCGAUCCCGUCGUAGUCGUCCAUCAAGAAAGGGUUCCCUCCUUUCGAAUCCAUGUUGGAUCGAGCGUGGUCGAGUUCCGUGGUGAGGAUGAAACGGAAGCGUCGUUUAAAGGUGGUUCAAAGGGAGCGAAAGAAGAGAAAGAAGAAGAUGGACGUGCAAAGGAUAUACAUAUAUGUAUAUAUAUAUAUACGAAGAUGAAUUUUAUGCGCGGUUUAUUUCGUUGAAAAAUCAAAUUUGUUAAAAAAGUUGUGCAACGUACAAGCGUUUCUUUUCGACUAUAUGUCGUUAGCCGUAUCGUUGAUAAGAAGCUUAAAGUUCUAUAACAGGCAUAAUUUAACGAGUUAAUCGGCUACGAAUGGAGAAUUUAAUUAAUACCAACCUGAUGGAAACCUAUACAAACCUCUGGGACAACAAACAAUAUCGUUUAUCGAUAUAGUUGGAUUACGAAGAGAUAGAAACAGCUGUUCGAAUAAUUAGUUGAAAUAAAUAAUCUUUAAAUUAAAGAAAUGGAUCAACGAAAUAAACGAUGAAAUCGACAGAGUAACAAAUACGAAAUAGAAAUUUUCGUCGAUAAUUGAAGGAACAGGACAGAGCACGUGCUUCAGAUUUAUCGCAGGAUAGUCGUAUCGUGAUUGGCGUGCUAACAAACUCGACGACUAUCGCAAUUCCCUCCAUCUAAAAUCGAUAUCGUCACCGGUACACUCGUAACCGUAACGCUAGGAAACUGUAAUCGAUAAUGGGCGAGAAAUCGAUCGAGUCCUCGACGAUCUAACCUAUAUAUACGUCACUACGUUCUAUUUCUGCGAUUUCACGAAGAAAAGCAUUCUUUUCUCGGCUCGAUGAAACGUCGAAAGAUAAAACGGAUAACGAGAGUUUCUUUUAACGAAUAUAUUUUUAAUAUAUUUUAAUUUUCGAAGAAGAUAGAACGCAGGAACAUAUGGAUGGCGAUAUAUCUGACACGAUAAGUCAUAUUCCUAUCUUUCCUACUUUCCAGAUAAUUAAAUUUAACUUGAAUCGCGUCACCAGGUAAAUAGAGAUUAUCGACCCGUAUGAUUCGUACCUUUGCACAGGAAUUGACAUUUGUUAUCGAUCGAUUGCCAACCUGCAAACAGAAACUUCAAUUGUAGAACGAUCUGCCAAAUUGAAAAAUUUAAGGAAAAAAAUUUAUAGCGAAGAGAGGUCACGUAACUCGAUAGAGAAGAAAAAUUACGUGCAUGUCGAUUUAUAUUUAGAACAUCCAAACCCCAUAUGAAAUCCAGUAGCGCCCUGCUCCAACGCUUGUACGUGCUCUAAACAACGAUACUCUACGCUGUACAAAAAUAUUCCAAGCGAAGAUAGAAAAAGAUAGUUACUUAAAAAGAAAAAAAGAAAAGAGGAAAACACAGAAGAAUAGAAAUUCUGAACGAGAUCAAAUCGAGAAUUCUAUUUAGCAUAGCACAGAGAAAAUCGACGAUGCGGCCAAGAAUAUUGGACCAUAUUGGAAAACAAUCGAACGUGGCUCUAGCUUUGCUCGUGACGUAAUUGAGAAAGUUUCGGCGAAGAGCGUUGCUCCAAUAUCCCGAACACUUGUCCAUAGUGUCUCUCUGAAGGCGCACGCGUAAUACCGAGCGUUGAAACUCCAGCCUGAAACGGAGAAUUCCUUUAAGAGGAACGAAAAGGAACCGUCGAACAAAUUGUCAGGAUAACGAAACAGGCCGCUUAUAUAUGUACAUAUAUAUAUGUAUAUUUAAAGACGUUCCAAGGCUAGAAAGCUAGGUGUGUAUCGACCAAGCCAAGUUCUCAAUGAGCAGUUUCAUUAUCGUCUUAGCAACGAUCAUUGCUGCGUCAGCUAUACCUACGCACGAAGCCGCUAUCCAUCCAACACUAUAAAAUAUAUUAGUUUACAGACAAAAUGCUUCGAGUUUCGUGCGACGGAACGUUCAAGAUUGUAGGAAGAUUUGCUUAACGUCCAAUUGGAAAAACUGUAAGGAAAAAUAAAUCUUGAACGAAGAGAAAACGAGCUAAGAGACGUAGAGCCUCGAUUCGCUGCUCGUACGUAGUUGAAAAGGAUAGGAUUAUUACGAGAGCGAGUGAAGUGUAGUUUCCGAGACGGAUCAAUCAGGAGGCAACGAUGAAAGCGUAUAGGUGACCACGUAUCGUUGCGACCACGUUUUGCACUGGUGUUCGCGAACCGCUAUCUAAUCCUCGUCAGCCACAUCGGUACGACGCACAUUUUUUUCGAGUCAUCCCGCGAUCGAGAUUCUCUCUAUCUCUCUUUUUAUUCACUUGGAUGAAUCGUCGAAGGCACACACUCGAAGAAAGCACCGGUAAAAGAAAAAAAGAAAUAGAAAAAAGAAAGGAAGAAAUUGGGGUUGAAAUUGAGAUGACUGUGCGUCAAGAAGAAUAUAGAAAAUGAGAGAGUCGGAUGGAAACUGUCCGGGGGAAGAGGAAGAACGAGGUCGAUGAGGAAACCGGCGGAUCGAUCGGUAACCGUUGAAGGGAAGCUCGCGAAUACGAGGAGAGAUUGUGGAGACUCUGUGUGGAGUUACGUUUCCCCCUACGAUUCGUGAAACAGGAAACGGCGAGCGGUGAAGAGCUGCAAAGGCCCUGCCGAAAGCGAAGCCGACUCACCUCGUACUCUCCUGCGGGUCGAGCUAUUUCCAGCAUCGAUCCGUUUCGCGGAGAAGAAACAUGCGCGUACACGACACCCACCCCCGCCUCCCCCGCCCUUAACGUCGCCCUCUCUAUUUCUCCGCUGCCCCCUUCUUCCUCUUCUGGCCACCCUUCGCUAGCAAUGGCCUCAAAACACGGACGCGAAACACUCGUCCCGUCGUCGACUUCAACCGGCACUAUCGAUUCAAACAUAUUCGUCCCUCCAUCAAUUUCCACCUUCGUUCGAGUUUCUCGCGGAAGAGAGAGAAAGGAUUAGAGACGCGCAACUAGUCCUUUCCUUUGGAAUUUUCAUUCGAAUGUUCGCAUGAAUUUCCUUCGGAAAGUAUACAUGUAAUCGUGUCCUUGUGACGUUUUCCUGCUUCUUUGUGUACCUUUCGUUCGAUCUAGCAGAAAUUCAUCGUGCUCGUGGCUAAGAAACUUGCGCAGAAAAUGAUCUCGAUUAUUGAUUCUCCAACCUCCAUUUGUUGAAUUGAAAGGAUUCGAAGCGUGCUGAUGCUAGCACUAGUCAUCUUUACUAAUGAUCGUGUGAUUAUUUUUCUUUUUUUCUUUUUUUUUUUUUUUUUUUUUGAUAUUCAAUAAAAAAUAAAACAUUAUAAAGAAGGUCAAAAAAAAAGACGUUGAAUCGAUUUACAAUGUAGUAUAGCUGAGAUCGAAGAAAGUUUUUGUAUAUCGUAGAGCAAUGGGAUAGGAACUGCUAGGAGCAACGAGAAGCUUCGAUAAAUCGUAAACUUCUCGAGAAAAGAUAAAAAUAGAAACAAAACGUUCGUAGCAUAACAUGAGAAUUUCCUGUACAGUCUGUUUUAUUACUGGGAUCAAGUCAAAUUUCCGCAAUUUAUAAUGAUACGAUAUUUUUGAAAAAGAAAUUGAAAACGUUCAUCGCUCUUGUUACCUUGAUUAUCUUGCGCCUUAAAAAAAAAAUUUAUUAAUAACUGUCAACUCCUCGAUUAUUUAUGUUAUAUUCUUUCUCUUUUAUUCUUUCUCUUAUAUUCAUAUCUUAAAAUUAAAAUUCUAAUAAUUCAUCCCGAUCCUUUAAUU